UGAGGACUUGCUCCUCAAGCUUUCCCUCUGCCUGCAAUCCUGGAAUGAGUCUGCUAAUAGCCCUGGAUUCAAAACCUACACAGAGAUUCACUUAUGACUGGCAAUGGACAAAUCACUUUUUCAGCCUCAUGUCUCUAGUCUGAAAUAAUGCAUUCUUACAUCAAAGCACUGCAGUGAAGAUAAGAAAACAAUACCUUUGUGCAUCUGUUGUUCUUUGGUACUGCAUUUUGGAUGGAACAUAAAUUUUAUGCACACUGAUCAAACCCUUCUGUCUUUAGCAGGCAGCAUCAUGGCAAACAACAAUCUAGACAAAUAAGCUUGCAGACUCAUUGUUGCAGCUGGAAGGAAGAGGGACUAUUGUUCUCAAUCC